rnacentral:rRNA from 1 species
UACGGGGGAUGCAAGCGUUAUCCGGAAUCAUUGGGCGUAAAGCGUCUGUAGGUUGUUUGAUAAGUCUGUUGUUAAAGACUGGGGCUUAACCCCAGAAAAGCAAUGGAAACUGUCUUACUUGAGUGUGGUAGAGGUAGAGGGAAUUCCUAGUGUAGCGGUGAAAUGCGUAGAUAUUAGGAAGAACACCGGUGGCGAAAGCGCUCUACUGGGCCAUUACUGACACUGAGAGACGAAAGCUAGGGUAGCAAAUGGGAUUAGAUACCCCAGUAGUCCUAGCCGUAAACGAUGGAUACUCGACGUUGCUUCUUAAACAGUGUCCUAGCUAACGCGUUAAGUAUCCCGCCUGGGGAGUACACUCGCAAGGGUG